rnacentral:rRNA from 1 species
UACGUAGGGUGCAAGCGUUGUCCGGAAUUAUUGGGCGUAAAGAGCUCGUAGGCGGUCUGUCGCGUCGGCUGUGAAAACUCGGGGCUCAACUCCGAGCUUGCAGUCGAUACGGGCAGGCUAGAGUUCGGCAGGGGAGACUGGAAUUCCUGGUGUAGCGGUGAAAUGCGCAGAUAUCAGGAGGAACACCGGUGGCGAAGGCAGGUCUCUGGGCACUUACUGACGCUGAGGAGCGAAAGCGUGGGGAGCGAACAGG